CCUACGGGUUGCAGCAGUGGGGAAUAUUGGACAAUGGGCGAAAGCCUGAUCCAGCAAUGCCGCGUGUGUGAAGAAGGUCUUCGGAUUGUAAAGCACCUUCGACGGGGACGAUGAUGACGGUACCCGUAGAAGAAGCCCCGGCUAACUUCGUGCCAACAGCCGCGGUAAUACGAAGGGGGCUAGCGUUGCUCGGAAUGACUGGGCGUAAAGGGCGCGUAGGCGGUUUAUGCAGUCAGAUGUGAAAUCCCCGGGCUUAACCUGGGAACUGCAUUUGAGACGCAUAGACUAGAGGUCGAGAGAGGGUUGUGGAAUUCCCAGUGUAGAGGUGAAAUUCGUAGAUAUUGGGAAGAACACCGGUGGCGAAGGCGGCAACCUGGCUCGGUACUUACGCUGAGGCGCGAAAGCGUGGGGAGCAAACAGGAUUAGAUACCCUCGUAGUC
rnacentral:rRNA from 1 species